rnacentral:tRNA from 1 species
GCCGGGGUGGCGAAACUGGCAAACGCAAGGGACUUAAAAUCCCUUGGGCUUCGGCCCUUGGGGGUUCGAUUCCCCCCCCCGGCA